GCCCGUCCAACGGAACGGUCGGCAGGCGAUCCGCGUCGGUCGCGCGAGGUGGCAUGGUUCCCCAGAGGCCGGUUCUUGUGCUGCCUACCCCUUCAGGGGAAGAGUUCCAGACUUGAUGUAAGCCUCCAUCCGGCGCCCCUCCAAAGGGCGCGGGAGGACAGCGGAGCACCCCCCCGCGUUCCACCGAGCCUCCUCGGUCGCGUGGCCCGCGGGGACGUGCGAUGCUCUCGGACCCAGCGAACGCCGUGGGCGAGGACUCACGUCCCGGUCCCAAGAGAAGCUCCGAUAUAGUGCUGACGUCCGCUCCCGCCCCCCGACCGCCCCGGCGGCGCGGGGCGAGGCGCGGCGUCGCGGAGGAAUGCUACCU
rnacentral:misc_RNA from 1 species